CGGGAUGUAGCGCAGCUUGGUAGCGCACCUCGUUCGGGUCGAGGGGGCCGCUGGUUCGAAUCCAGUCAUCCCGA
rnacentral:tRNA from 8 species